rnacentral:rRNA from 1 species
GAUGAACGCUAGCUACAGGCUUAACACAUGCAAGUCGAGGGGCAGCAUGAACUUAGCUUGCUAAGUUUGAUGGCGACCGGCGCACGGGUGAGUAACACGUAUCCAACCUGCCGAUGACUCGGGGAUAGCCUUUCGAAAGAAAGAUUAAUACCCGAUGGCAUAGUUCUUCCGCAUGGUAGAACUAUUAAAGGAUUUCGGUCAUCGAUGGGGAUGCGUUCCAUUAGGUUGUUGGCGGGGUAACGGCCCACCAAGCCUUCGAUGGAUAGGGGUUCUGAGAGGAAGGUCCCCCACAUUGGAACUGAGACACGGUCCAAACUCCUACGGGAGGCAGCAGUGAGGAAUAUUGGUCAAUGGACGAGAGUCUGAACCAGCCAAGUAGCGUGCAGGAUGACGGCCCUAUGGGUUGUAAACUGCUUUUAUAAGGGAAUAAAGUGGGAGUCGUGACUCUUUUUGCAUGUACCUUAUGAAUAAGGACCGGCUAAUUCCGUG